rnacentral:lncRNA from 1 species
CAUUUUAACCUAACUUUUGAAAUUGGAUUUUUAGAAUUCUGAUUUCAUAGAUGUACCAAACAAUUGAGAGUGUUGAAGUUUAACGAUUGAGUCCGAAACAUUUUCUCUAGAAGAGAUCAGAUUCUGGCAUAAUCACCGGUGUAAUAUCUUUCGAUUUCCUUUCUUUUUCAUAUAUAUAUAUAUAUAUAUAUAUAGAUAUAAAUAUAUCUGGAUUCUUCAGUUUUCUCUUGCCAAAUCCUAAAUUACUUCCAAUUUUGAGAUUUUGGUUUUUUGGGCUUUCUUUGGUAGUUUACGAAUUUUGAGAUUUGUUGGAGAAAAAAUGGGACUUGGAGAAAGACGAGUAUGGUAAUUUGGGGAUUUUCGAUGUUUGCUUAGUGUGAUUUUAGGUGUAAUUUCAAAUUUCUCCAUUUCAAAUUUCUCCUUUUUUGCGCAAUUUGUCACCUCAGGUGAGUUUUGUUUCUUCGUUCUUAUUUUUUUUGCACUCUUUUUUUAGUAAUGAAGAUAUACUGGGUAUAUAUUUGUUAUCCUAUUAUUAAGAGGAUCACAGAAAAGAAAAAUAAUAGCAACUUAUUUACUAAAGAAGAGAAGAUAACUUUCAAACUGGUCCUUCAUCAAGGAUGACAGCAACUCCGUUGAGUUUGAUUCUUUGUAUGUCUUUAUGAAGUUAGAACAUGGUUCAUGCUUAUUACUCAAAUUAUUGUUAUAGCUUUGAAUUUGCACCCAAUUCACUUUCUAACUAAACACGUGGAUGUGUAAUUUGAGAUUGGCACUAAGCAGGGAGCACGAACAGACUGCUGCAAUUCACUCUUUCCUACUUCUCUAUUCGCCGCUCUCUAUGCUUUGUUGCUUCUUCGCUACAAACCUAAAUUCAUCCUCUUGAAUCACUUUACUUAUUUAAGAGUUUGACUUCAAGACUCAAAGCUUCUGCUUGCUAUUAACAGGUCUAAGUUUUAAUGGUUUAAACGCCUAAUUGAUGCUUCUGCUUGCUACCAAGUUUUUCGAUAGGUAUGUUCAUAAUUCUCUUUACCUGAAGCUUUAAAUUAGAUAUACUAUAGCCAAUUAAUUAUCUAUUGCGGUAUAUGAAGGAAAUUCAAAUUCUGAUUUGGCUUUUUGAUUUAACGCAAUAGGGUUCAAAAUUUUGGUUCUUUUAGCUGAUACUUAUUUCCUUAUUUGCGAUUCAUGGAUCUUUAGUUAUAAUCGUGUUCGAUUAGAGAACAAUACUUGAUUUAUUAUCCUUGGAUUGCAUGGAAAGAUUGACCGUCCAAAUUUUAGCAUCUAUUUGCUUUUCACUUUAACCAAAAAUAAAUAUUUCUACCUAAAACUUCUUAUUUCGAGUUAAUUUCAUACACAUACAAAAUUUACUGAAGGCUAUUGUAGAAUUUUCUGAGCCUUUUCCUUUUUUGUUAACCCUUUAUUGCUAAACUGUAAAAUCUUGAUGUUCCAAG